AAUGGAUCAGGGUCUACCAUUUUCUCUCUACCGUUGACACUUAUCUAUCUUUUCUUUUUAUUUAUUUCCUUUGUUCCUUGGACCAAUGUGCUUUGACGUGAUGGCAAUUCAGGAAGCCAGCAACCAGGCCGAUUCCAUCUCCCUGCUUUCAUCAUAAACAGCCUUGCUUCUCCUUUCCUUUGUUAUCUGCUCGCCAGGACCUGAUGGUGCGUGUGUGCCUCUGUUUCCUUUUCCCGUCAUAGAAAGCAUGAAGAGAUACAAAGGCACACGCAAACGGUUUGCACGAAAUCGGCGACAUAUAAGUCACAACCUAUCGUGGUUUUCUUUAUCCACAAAAACAGCAGCACGGAGCCCUAACUCUCAUCAUGCGCCGCACCUCCAUCUUGCCGCGCCGCCGGGAAGUUUUGCCAAACAGCCAUCAGCCAUGCCUAGAUGCUCUGCAUGAUCUCCGCUCUCAAGUCCAUGGAGCACCACGUAUGUGGGAUGUCCAAGCUGGCUGCCAUCUCCAUCAUCGUUCUAUGUUCGGUGAGCACCUCCAUGAAUUUGUGAUUCUCUGUACGGGCAGUUGUCAUCUAGUAACUGCAAUCCAACCUAUCACACGUGCAGAUGUAUCUGGAUAUCAUCUAUUAUGAGCAAAUGCAAUAAGAUGGUGUGCCUGGAUAGUAGGCAGCAAACGUCCAUGAGUCGGAGGAGCCAAUCCCGGCCAAGUGCCCUGCGGCCGAAGUCCCCAGCUAGCUUUCCCAAUAGACCACGAUCUGCUACCCAAGGAAGAAGAUGUUGUUUACUAGUAAGAGUUAUCAGAGGAGCGAAGGAGUUACGAAGGACGUUCUCAGGAUACAAGAAGUUCUAGGCAUAUGUUACCACCAGUCAACCGUCCCUGUGAAGUUUGAGCCUAAAGAUUAGUUAUCAUUCCGCGAUACUCUGAUGUUGCUUUUCGAAAUAGUUUGAUGGUGGACGGUUUCCUACAGAGGGGAGCACAGCGAAUGGAACGUGUGUUCUUUCUAGUGGAUGAACAGAGGAUGGGCCACAGUGAAGGAUCGACCACCCGACACGUAUGGCCCCGACACGGUCAAUGGAACGUGUGUUCUUGCUUCUGGUGGAUGAACAGAGGCACCCGACACGGCAACUGGAUGAACAGUUGUGCAGGGAAGAGAUGGACCAUCCGACGACUGUGGCUAAAUGGAUGAACAAUUGCGGGGCCAUAUGAAUCGAUGAACAGUGACGGACCAAAUGAAUCGAUGAACAGAAGGUGGAUGCGCGCAGCAAGCAGCCAAGCGAAUCAAUGGGGGUGAUGAGUGGUACUCCGUAGUAGGCUAAAGUUUUUUUCCCCUUGAGGGCUUGUGCCCUCACUCUCUCAUCUAUUGUAUUCGCUUUGAGAUGUGUGCAACCACAUAUCAUAAUGUGAAACUGCUUUGAGAUGUGUGUUUGCACACUUCUCAAAGCAAAUCCAAUUGGUGGGAGCGUGAGGGCAUAUUCCCUUAAGGGCAAAAAAUUGCCUUCCGAAGUGUAUUUUGCCCUUGAGGGCAUGUGCCCUCACUCUCUCAUCCAUUGGACUCGCUUUGAGAAGUGUGCAAACACACAUCUCAAUGUGAAACUGCUUUGAGAUAUGUGUUUGCACACUUCUCAAAGCGAAUCCAAUGGAUGAGAGAGUGAGGGCAUAUGCCCUUAAGAGAAAAGACCGCGUUCAGCAGUAAUACAAUGUAGCAUGUAACUCGA